GUGUUUAACCUGAACCCUUCAAGGUCACCCAAGUUGAGGUUCACGUCAAGGUAUCAACGUCAACGAAAGCGAAUCUUAAUCGAACCUAACCUAACCUACAUGGAUAAAAAUAUAAACCAUGGAAAGACACGUUAGUGUGUUAUUGGAGGGCGAGAGUCCCAAAAUAAAAAAAUGCAGCAGCAGUCAACUUCAUCACUGCCGUUCUGCAUAUAUAAGGCUGAACAUUAUAUGGUCAACAACCACAUCAAAUGUCAUGCUUCAGUGAGGCACAGAGAGUUCACAAUCAUAAAGUGUGGCUUUAGUUGUAGAAAUGCGACACACUUUCAUUGUUGCUAUUGCACGGCAACAAUAAUCAACAGAGCACAGUUUCUGAAGCACCUGACAUACCUUCAGCAUACCAGUGGCCCCUCAAGAGCACCCAGAGGCCCUUCAAUAACUUCGCCCCUCAAGAUCUUGUACCCUGGACCUUGGAGGACUUUCGGUGUGGAUGAUG